UACAGAGGGUGCAAGCGUUGUUCGGAAUCAUUGGGCGUAAAGGGCGUGUAGGCGGCCUGUUAAGUCAUGUGUGAAAUCCCUCGGCUCAACCGGGGAACGACGCAUGAAACUGACAGCUAGAGUACCAAAGAGGGGGUGGAAUUCCCGGUGUAGCGGUGGAAAUGCGUAGAUAUCGGGAGGAACACCGGUGGCGAAGGCGGCCCCCUGGUUGGAUACUGACGCUGAGACGCGAAAGCGUGGGAGCA
rnacentral:rRNA from 1 species